rnacentral:tRNA from 2 species
GCCGGGGUAGCUCAGCUGGUUAGAGCGCCAGACUCAUAAUCUGGAGGUCGAGGGUUCAAAGCCCUCCCCCGGCA